CAGAGGUGGCAAGCGUUGUUCGGAAUUACUGGGCGUAAAGGGCGCGUAGGCGGCCAUCUAAGUCAGACGUGAAAUCCCCCGGCUUAACCUGGGAACUGCGUCUGAUACGUGGAAGGCUCGAGUUUGGGAGAGGGAUGUGGAAUUCCAGGUGUAGCGGUGAAAUGCGUAGAUAUCUGGAGGAACACCGGUGGCGAAGGCGGCAUCCUGGACCAACACUGACGCUGAGGCGCGAAAGCUAGGGGAGCAAACGGGAUUAGAUACCCCGGUAGUCCUAGCCCUAAACGAUGAAUGCUUGGUGUGGCGGGUAUCGAUCCCUGCCGUGCCGAAGCUAACGCAUUAAGCAUUCCGCCUGGGGAGUACGGUCGCAAGGCUG
rnacentral:rRNA from 1 species